rnacentral:rRNA from 1 species
AACCAACUGGGAUUACCUUAGUAACGGCGAGUGAAGCGGUAAAAGCUCAAAUUUGAAAUCUGGUACUUUCAGUGCCCGAGUUGUAAUUUGUAGAAUUUGUCUUUGAUUAGGUCCUUGUCUAUGUUCCUUGGAACAGGACGUCAUAGAGGGUGAGAAUCCCGUUUGGCGAGGAUACCUUUUCUCUGUAAGACUUUUUCGAAGAGUCGAGUUGUUUGGGAAUGCAGCUCAAAGUGGGUGGUAAAUUCCAUCUAAAGCUAAAUAUUGGCGAGAGACCGAUAGCGAACAAGUACAGUGAUGGAAAGAUGAAAAGAACUUUGAAAAGAGAGUGAAAAAGUACGUGAAAUUGUUGAAAGGGAAGGGCAUUUGAUCAGACAUGGUGUUUUUUUAAUGUGCAAGUCUCUCGUGGACAUGUGCCUCUGGAAAUUAACACUGGGCCAACAUCAGUUCUGGCGGCAGGAUAAAUCAUUAAGAAUGUAGCUACCUCGGUAGUGUUAUAGCUUUUUGGAAUACUGUCAGCUGGGAUUGAGGACUGCGCUUCGGCAAGGAUGUUGGCAUAAUGGUUAAAUGCCGC